GAAACCACCCGCGACGGUCAGGCGGGGAGGGCGGGCUGUACCAUCCGCGGGAGGAGUCCUGAAUGCGCGCCCGGGAGAUGCAGGGCAGGCCAGCCCCGGGCUGUCCUCGGAGGCCGGGCCGUGCGGGCGUCUGGCGCCCAGGCCCCUACUCUGCGCGGCGCCCCCUUGGUGUGCAGGUCCGAGGCAGUCCCCUGAUUUCUUCCCGGAGGUUGCACACGUGCGCCCCGAGAGCGGCGGCAGUGGCCAGCCACCAGCCUGACCCCCGGCGCUCUCAGCCGCGGUCUGGGCUCUAGCCACCGCUGCAGGCUCGCCUCUGGUACCGCGCUCUGCCGUCAGGCACCUGUCCCCCGGUGGCCCACGCAGGCCCCAUCUGCCAGUGAAGUGGCACCCCUUAGGAAGACGCGGAAAGUAUGCUGUAUCUCAAGGUGGACUUUCAGACACGCUGCUGCAGCAGGCCCGCGGGUCCCAGCAAGGCCUUUCCUACCGCAGAGGCAUGGGGCCCGAACGGCUGUCCAUUUCUACAGAAACGUUCCUCGGUGGGAUCUCUGUCUGGAGAAGGGCUCGCGUACUGCCCCGGGACCCAGGACUGGAACUCGUGGAGGAUGCCUGGUGAUUCAGGAGGGAGUCAGUCAGGAGCCACCAGGAAGGACCUCCCUGCUAAGUCUUCAGGACUCCACCACUCUUCGUGGUCCUGCAGAAAUGCUCCGUUUUCCAGAGAGAAGGCUGUGAUAGCAGCACCUGGGCUAGGGUGCAGUGAGCCACUGACCAGUGGAGAGUUGGAGGGAAGGGACCCCCACAAUUCAGUGGUGCAGACCAGCUACCUGUGUUUGCAGGGCCCAGUGCAAAGUCGGAAUGAACGGUCCCUUGUUCAAGAGUCGCUAAGAAUUUUAAGGCAGGGACAGGAGGUUAUACCCGGCUGGGGCCCCAACUGAUGGCACUGCUCACAGGCACCAUGAAGCAGCCCUGGCCUGGCUGGCCUCACCCUCUCCCCACCUGGGACUGAAGCUUUCACCCGGUUCCCAUCAAGUGUGUGAGGCGGCAGAGGUCUCUGUCCAGGAGAACCCGGGAGUGUGCUGUCCCCUGAUGACCUGAAACAAGUCCCAAGGCAGUUGAGACCCAGGCCCUGCACCCCUGUCUGGCCUCUGCGCCUGGCCUCCUCUACCCGGGCCCCCCAUGAUCUGCCUGCCCUUCCUUUCCUUCUCUUCACGGGGCCAGCUCCAGAGGAGAAAGGGCUGGAAGCAUCGUCAGUGACACUGGCCCAGAGGCUCACACAUCUGGGAGCCCUCUUUAGGAAAAGUAAAUGAAAAUGAGGUAGAAGUGGGGCCUUUGCUUUCCUCUGCCUCCACCCAUGGCCUCCCCCCAGUGGUGGCACGAGGGUGGUUUAUGAACAAUAAAGAAAGGUUUGUGUACAACGGGUGCGUCUGCCUACUUUCUUCCCAAUUUCUUUGUUAAAGACUUGCUGCUAUUUCCCCAAGGACCACAUUUAGGUGUAAGAAGUAAAAAGCCACGUAUAAUUGUUCAUAGAACUACCUGGAUGACAGCAGGUGCUGUGAAGCCAGGAGGGGAGGAGGGAAGGUGGGAGCAGGCAGGCAAGUGAAGGAGCUUUGCAAGACCAGUGGGGAAGGGUAGAAAGAACUCUGCUGAGGUGCCAGUGGGACAGACAGAGCCCCGCUCCGUGCAGCCCUAUCUCAAGCUGGAGAAGGUGGGGAAGAAUGUAGAGGAAAGGUGAGCCUUGAACCUUGCCUGGCCGAGUGUGUGAGACAGUGCGCAAAGCCUGUGGCAGCCAGGAUGGGGUGCAAGAUGCUGUACUCGCAGGGGAGAUUGCAAGGUGAAAGCUGGAGGAGGUGCGGGGAGGCAGGAUUGGGGCCAUCUUUAGAGGAUGGCUGGGAUCUGGGGUUUUGGUAAGAAAAAUGAGUGAGAAAAAAACCCUACAAAUAGGGGUGAAUCUCUCGGCUUGUCAAGGCAGCCAGCAUGGCAGAGAAUAAGCCACUUCGGUUUGCACAGGUGAACAGGAGGUCACCAGCAAUGAGUCAGACCACAUUACUGCUAUGCUCAACCCCUGCAAGAGUUCCCCAUCUCAUUUAGAGCAAAAGCAAAGUCCAUGCAGUGCCUGUGAGGUCUCUACCAUCCCUCUCCCCUCCACACCUCUGACCUCAGCUCCUGCCACCCUUCCCCUCACCUGCUCUGUUCCAGCCAGCCUCCUAGCUACUCCUAGCUCACUCCAAGUGUGAUUCAGCCUCAGGGCCUUUGCACUGCUGAUUUCCUGUGCUUAAAGUCCUCUUCUCAAAGGUAUCUCCAUGGCUCUCUCUCACUCCAUGAAGUCUUUCUCAACUUCACUUUCUCAAAAGAGGUUUAAAAUUGUAAACUCCCAACCC
ensembl:lncRNA